AGUGAGACUCUGCCUUUGGGCUAAAAGCUCAAGUGUAGUAUCUGCUCUUAUCAGUUUAAUAUCUGGUACGCCCCUGUCUGAGAGGCCAUAUAUUAAAUGGAUUUUUAGAACAGGGAGAUGGAAGAAGAGCUUGCUAUGUCCACUCCAUGCUUUGACCCAGUAUUGCAGUACCUCCAGGACUGGUGCAAAACAU